rnacentral:lncRNA from 1 species
AAAGUCCUUUUAUUUACAUGGUGGCAAUUAAUAGCAUAGGCUCUGGCAUCAAGCUGCCUGAAAUCAAAUCCUACUAUUAGCUUCAUGAGUUUUUGACUAAAUUUCUUAAGCUGUCUAUGCCUCAGUUUUUCUCUGUAGAGUGAGGGUAGUAAUAGUACCUACCUCAGAGAGUUACUGUGAAACUAAAAUGUAGUUUGUGGGUGGGAAGUGCUUAGUACAGGCCUUUGCACAUACUUUGUGUCCAGCCAAUGAAAUUGUUGGUAGUAGCUGUGGUACUAGCAGAUCCUAGCAAGAAAAUGUUUGCAAAUAACAGGAAAGCACACAUUGAAGGGAAAUAGAUCAGUAUUAUGUCAAUUAUGUAUAUGGUGUUAAAGCAUAUAAUGUACUCUGAAAAAAGUGGC